CCAGACGGUUGGACGGUCGCGCCCAGGCAAUGGGGAAACCCGUCUGGGUGAGGAAAGUCCGGGCUCCACGGAAACACGGUGCCGGUUAACGACCGGCGGGGGCGACCCUAGGGAAAGUGCCACAGAAAGCAAACCGCCUCGAUUUCAAUCGGGGUAAGGGUGAAAGGGUGCGGUAAGAGCGCACCGCUCGUCUGGCAACGGAAGAGGCAUGGUAAACCCCACCGGGAGCAAAACCGAGUAGGGAUGGUAGCCGCACUGGGGUUGAUCUUUCACGAGAUAUCGCCCCUGGAAGACGGCAGGCGGGUUUCCGCGCCCCAUCCGGGUAGGUUGCGAGAGGCACCCGGCAACGGGUGUCCCAGAGGAAUGGCCGUCCAUCGCCCCAAUGAUCCUUGGGUCAGCGGGGGGAGGACAGAACCCGGCUUACAGACCGUCUGGCCCA
rnacentral:RNase_P_RNA from 1 species